UUUGUAGGAAGUGGAAAGGGGAUGAGUGUUUCGGGGAGCUUUUGGAUUGGGUGGCGUGGCAAGAUUUCAUAUUUAUGUUUCAUAAAAAUUGAAGUCUUGCCAAUACCGGCCAUUCCAAUGGCUUCCCAUCAUUUCUCCCUUUCCUUUUUCUCCACAAUAUGUUUAUGUUGCAGGCGUACACUUGUUCAAGUGCUGUUUCUGAUGCAUCAAUCAUGGCUGUUACUGUUCUCAUGCUAUUUUUUUCUUGAUCAGGAAUUUGGCAGUAGCACUAGCAGGAGCAUCACCAGUUCAUUGCAUUAAUCAACCUUAUCUUAACUUCUUAUGCUUUACCAACUACAUCUCAGUGAGUGCUUUAAAAGAUUUGGAGUUUUGGACCAGGCCACUGUUUGAUAUGCUGACCCCUUUAUCCACACAAUUGCUUUACAAAGUAGUGAAGUAUGAUAAAAACUCUUCCACUGGAAUUACUUUGCCUGGUGUCCAAUAGAAAUCUUUUACAGAUUAAAAGGAAAAACUCUUAUUCUCCGAACUAUCUUCAUAUGACUAAAUUGAUCAAGAAUCACACUAUAGCCGUACCAUCCUCUUUAUUUUGUCUUGAUAUUCAUCUAUAUUUUUAAUUCGAUAGGUAAGUCAUAUUCUCUUUGAAUGUGCCCUUGGUGGAUGAGAGCUUAUUGUGCGAACUGCAAAGGUUACAGUGCAGCUGAGAAAGGUCUAAGCUCUUAGCAGAGGUUCUUUUGUCCCCUUGAAAACCAUCAAAUGUAAUCUUCCAUUGGUCUAUUUUUUCUUCUUACAUCUGAUAAAAGAAUGAGAACCAAGCUCUGUGCAAAUAAUUAAGAGUUGCUGCAGAAAACCUCAUUUUCUGUUGUUUCCUGUUGUGGCCUUAUUGUGGCCUUUUUAUGAUGUGAAUGGUAACCUUGUUCAAGGGACUAUGAGUACACAGUUAGUCGGGUGAUGGAAAAGAGACCCCGUCAACCUAAAUGGGAGGUCAUGCCCAAAUUUCACUAAGGCAUGAUGGCACCUAACACAAUCUGUUUGGCGAAUCAAUCAACACGCAUACACCCGAAACAGGAGACAAUAUCAUAAAAAUAUAGUUCAGGUUGGAACCCGAGGAGCUGGGGUGAAUUUCCUUGUGCCGAGGGUUUACCGGAAACAGCCUGCCUCCUUGCCUCCUUACCUCCCAAGAUAGGGGUAAGGUCAUGCGUACACUCUACCCUCUCUAGAACUCGUUAUGUGGGAUUUCUAACGGUAUGUUGUUGUAUUGUUUAAGCUCACAUGUUCAGGAUGCACUACAGUUUUUUGAGAACUGUCUCAGGGUAAGAUGAGAAGGCUGAGUCUAUGAACUUGUUGGAUCAUUUGAUAGUGUGAUAUUUGGUGCAGGACCUGUUGAGGGUGGUCCAGUAACUGAUCCAUGAUUUCUAUAUCAUUUCGGCUCUGUUCAGCUGGGGUGAGCCAUCACUAGUCCGUGCAGGCCAUUCCAGUUCUAUCUUAUCUUUCUUAUUUUGGACCAUGCCUAGGCAGUUGUAUCAAUAUUCUAUAGUCGCUCCAUGAGUUAUAGUGCAUUCGAGUAUUUUGGCUUUGUGUUUGUACUUAUUUUUCCUUCCAUUUCGUUAUUGUUCCUUUA